AUUGGACGCUGGCGGCAUGCUUUACACAUGCAAGUCGAACGGUAACAGGCCUUCGGGUGCUGACGAGUGGCGAACGGGUGAGUAAUGCAUCGGAACGUGCCCAAUCGUGGGGGAUAACGUAGCGAAAGUUACGCUAAUACCGCAUAAGCCCUGAGGGGGAAAUGGGGGACCGCAAGGCCUCACGCGAAUGGAGCGGCCGAUGUCAGAUUAGCUAGUUGGUGGGGUAAAGGCCCGACCAAGGCGACGAUCUGUAGCGGGUCUGAGAGGAUGAUCCGCCACACUGGGACUGAGACACGGCCCAGACUCCUACGGGAGGCAGCAGUGGGGAAUUUUGGACAAUGGGCGCAAGCCUGAUCCAGCCAUGCCGCGUGCGGGACGAAGGCC
rnacentral:rRNA from 1 species